rnacentral:rRNA from 1 species
CGAAGCUUGACGGAUGAUUUCUUCGGAAUGAAACCAGAUAUGACUUAGUGGCGGACGGGUGAGUAACACGUGAGCAACCUGCCUUUCAGAGGGGGAUAACGGCUGGAAACGGUCGCUAAUACCGCAUGAUGUGUUCGGAUGGCAUCAUCUGAACAUCAAAGAUUUAUCGCUGAAAGAUGGGCUCGCGUCUGAUUAGAUAGUUGGUGGGGUAACGGCCUACCAAGUCUACGAUCAGUAGCCGGACUGAGAGGUUGAACGGCCACAUUGGGACUGAGAUACGGCCCAGACUCCUACGGGAGGCAGCAGUGGGGAAUAUUGCACAAUGGGGGAAACCCUGAUGCAGCAACGCCGCGUGAAGGAUGACGGUUUUCGGAUUGUAAACUUCUUUUCUUAGUGACGAAGACAGUGACGGUAGCUAAGGAAUAAGCAUCGGCUAACUACGUGCCAGCAGCCGCGGUAAUACGUAGGAUGCAAGCGUUAUCCGGAUUUACUGGGUGUAAAGGGAGCGCAGGCGGGACUGCAAGUUGGAUGUGAAAUACCGUGGCUUAACCACGGAACUGCAUCCAAAACUGUAGUUCUUGAGUGAAGUAGAGGCAAGCGGAAUUCCGAGUGUAGCGGUGAAAUGCGUAGAUAUUCGGAGGAACACCAGUGGCGAAGGCGGCUUGCUGGGCUUUAACUGACGCUGAGGCUCGAAAGUGUGGGGAGCAAACAGGAUUAGAUACCCCUGGUAGUCCACACUGUAAACGAUGAUAGCUAGGUGUGGGGGUCUGACC